GACGAACGCUGGCGGCGUGCUUAACACAUGCAAGUCGAACGGAAAGGCCCUGCUUUUGUGGUGUGCUCGAGUGGCGAACGGGUGAGUAACACGUGAGUAACCUGCCCUAGACUUUGGGAUAACUUAAGGAAACUGGGGCUAAUCCCGGAUAGGAGCCCCUGCUGCAUGGAGGGGGGUGGAUAGUUUCGGCGGUUGGGGAUGGACUCGCGGCUUAUCAGCCUGUUGGUGGGGUAGUGGCAUACCCAGGCUUUGACGGAUAGGCGGCCUGAGAGGGUGACCGGCCACAUUGGGACUGAGAGACGGCCCAGACUCCUACGGGAGACAGCAGGGGGAAAUAUGGCACAAUGGGCGGAAGCCUGAUGCAACAACGCCGCGGGCGGGAUGACGGCCUUCUGGUUGUAAACCGCUUUCGCCUGUGACGAAGCGGGAGUGACGGUAAUGAAUAAAGAAGCACCGGCUAACUACGUG
rnacentral:rRNA from 1 species